UCAUGUGUAAUGCCUUACAACGUAUGUGCCCAGAAAACGUAUGAGGAUCAGCAACAAGAGGAAGCAGUGGGAUGCUUCAAUCAAGACCUCUCCUGUGACCUGUCUGAAACCACUCAGAACAUGCUGGCUGACCUUCCUCAGAGCCUUCUGCCAGAGGAUAAUGGACCUCUCAGCAGGACAUUGCCCUUCUCACCCCCCUGUGUAGCUCUUUUCCCCUCACACAGCUUCAGAUCUCUGGUAUCCCUCAGACCCCCAGCCUAACCUCUAACACAACAACCACCUCUGCUCCUUCUGACAUCACCAACGAGAGCUCCCCCAAAGCCCAAUUAAAAACAGAUGAACCCUGUGUCCAGAGCACCUCAGCCUGGCUCGAUCAUUGCAAAAUGGGCAGCUGGUGGAAACAAGACCUGGAAACCUGUAGAGCUUCCACUGGCCUUCUAUCUGCCACAGAGCCAGGAGCAGCUAUCCCAUCAGGGAGACAAAGAGGAGCUCGCAGGUUGGAGUAGUUUGGGGAAGGAUUCACAAGGUGCCAUAAGAAGUGUGAGAACACUAUCAAGGAAAGGAAAACGAGUGAAGAGAGCAUGAAGAUUUAGCACAUCUAUGACACAGGACAGCACACGAGAACUGCACUGAAUGAAAUGUAGCCUCUACGUCUUUUAAAAUGAUGCAUCUUUCCUUUAAUUCAGAUAUACAUUUUUAACAUAGAUUAUAACUGUAAGAAUUAACUCACACCAAUCAAUCAUUGAGUCUGAAGUGGUGCCACGCCCUUUUUCUUCCACUGUAAUAUCAUGUGUCAGAAACACUCAAUGAGUUACUCAGGAAUUAUUAAAACACAUAUGCUACAUUUACAAAUAUUUGCUAAUUAAAACUCUA